rnacentral:tRNA from 1 species
UCCCCGGCAGCUCAACGGUAGAGCGGGCGGCUGUUAACCGCUAGGUUGUAGGUUCGAGUCCUGCCUGGGGAGCCA